CUUUAUAAAAUAUAUAGAUUAAUGGUUAUGGUUGAUACUUAAGACAGAGCUAGCAAAUAAGAAAUCCUAGUCAUUGGCCAGAAGUAUUGUAACUAAUAUUAAUCUCUGCGUUAUUUGAGGGACCUAACAUGGUGGUGGAACUCAGGCGGCUGGCAGAAAGAGUUAUUGUUAUACCCUACCUUCCACAGGCUGGCGACCAAGUCAUUAGCAUAUGAAGACUUGUGAGAUCCAAGCUAUAACUAGAGUCAUUCAGAUAUAUAAACAUGAAGAAGAGAGUAAAAAUGAACUUGGGUUGAUGAGAUUUUGGGAAAUCAGGACUGGCCAUGUGGCUUUUGUAACCAGGCUACUACACUGACUCUGCUAAAAUUCACUGUAAAAUUUUAGUAUACCUUGAGCCAGGCAUGGUAGUGCACACCUUUAAUGCCAGCACUGCAAGCAGAGGCAGGAAGAUCUUUGUGAGUUGGAAGCCAGACAGAUUUAGGUUUAUAUAGUGAGUUCAAGACAGCCAAGUCUACAUAGUAACACCUUGUCUCAAAAAUAAAUAAAUAAAUGAAUAAACAAAUAAAUAAGUAAAUAUCACAUCUCAUCAAUAAUUAAAUAAGCUCAUUUUUAUAAAGAAGGGUCUCUUUUAAAGAUUAAGCAACUGAAAUGAUGCCUGGGAGAGACUGUUUCACAUCAGACCUCCUGUAUGUUGGUUUUCUCUCCUAGAAAUGGAUGAACAUCAGUGGACAUGUUAAUGUGGAAUGGAGGAAAUUUCAUGAGGUUCCAUCCCAAGACAAAGAGCUAUUAGCAGCUAAUGACAGGUGGAGAGGGAGAAUUAGUCCUCCCAGGAAUGAGCCCCCCUAGUUUUCCAAGACAAAAUGGGAGAAACCCAGCUUGCCUCAAAUAUCAGAAUAUCAAACCUGCGUUUUUAACACAAGACAUCAAAAGCACCCCUCUCCCAGAACAAAAUCAGAAAGAGCAACGAUGUCUCAUCCUGUCACCAUGACUACUCUGCAAUUAUUGUGUCGUGUCGGGCAAGUUACAUACCUUUCCAGGUCCACAGACUCUCAGCUGUAAAUGGAAGUUGAAAAGCACUCUGGUGUUCUCUUCUUCAAUCUUCUUUGCCCUUUCCCUUCCGCACAGUUGUCAGUUGUGACUGCCUUAGCAAUAUGAGCCUGCCAUAAUCAAGUCCCAGUAUUCAUAAAGGCCAAAGUGAGGCCAUAUUAAUGACCUGCUGUAAACCUUCCAAUGGAUUCCCACUUACCAAAAUUAAAAUUUAAUUCCUUCCAGUGGCCUCACAACAUAAUCCUCUCCCCACUGUCUUUUCUCCUGACACCCGUCAUACCCCCAACUUGGAUUUUCUUCUUUCUGUUAGUUUUCGAGAGAUGUUACAACCAAGUAGCAUAGACUAGGUGGCUUGAACACUUCCAGCCCUUUCUCUGCUCAUGUCAUACUUUUGUGUCUUGACAUUUUGUGACAUAAACAUUUGUUUAAAGCCACCAACUUUCUAAGCCCUGCCCCAAUGGCACUGUGUUACUGUUGAUAUGCUAUGUCUUCAUUUUCAUUAGAAUCAGACCUUCUCAAACAUCUCUGAGAUUUCCUUCUUCCCCACAGGGUAAUUUCCAGGUACUUAGAGGGUAUCGUUUUUUCAAAUAUACAUUUCUGUUGCUGAAUUAAAGUUCACUUCUCUAAUAUUUAGAGAAUAUACCUUGUGUAUCAACUUUCUGAGACAUGUUUCGGGUGCAGAAUAUUAUCUGUCCUUUUGAGUGACUCUGUGCUCGCCUCAAGAAUGAGCACACCACUGUUAGCUGUGACACAUUUUGUCAGGUCAAAGUGGCUGACAGCAUUGUUCAAAUAUUUUCUACAUCCUCAGUUUCUUUCCUUUCUUAACCAGUCACUAAGAGUGGGGUGCCUAACCUCCCUACUUGAAGUGUUGGGACUAUAAAGUGUCAUUAUUAAUGCAGUCACCUCAAGCUUUCUUUAAAUGAAUACAUUUAUUCCUUAACAAUUUCAUACACUUGUGUAGUGAGUUUUAGUCAGUUCUAUCCCAUUAACCCCUCUCAUGCCCUCUCCCCACAGCUUUCUUCUGAUUAGUGUUCAUGUGGUAUGACUAUUGGCAUGUUUUUGUUAUUAGUUUUAGAUAUCUAUUUAUGAAGUGGUAUGUUUCAGAUAAUAAAUAGUUGACUACUAUCUUUUUAUCCAAUUUAGCAAUACCUGUGACUAAACACAUAAAUGAAUUUAAUAUAUACUCUGGUUAUUUGUUUGAUCCUGAACUACACUUGAUAAAUUCAUGUUUUAAACAGCUGUAGUACUAUUUUGAAGGAUGUGGAGGUUUUAAGGGGUGAGGUCAGGGUUGAGCCUCAGGUCAUGGGGAGCAGGCCUGGUUCCUGCCUACAUUGUCUCCAUGUUGGCCCAUGGCAAGUAAAGGACCUUUGUUCCACAUUCAUGUGGCCACAGAUGGAAGCUUCCACCACUGUAGCUUUCCCACUAUGGUGAACAUACAUUUUCUAGACAGAAACUGUUCUUCAAUUUUUGUUGAAGUUCCCAUUUUUGGGUAAUGAGUCAUCUCUCCUGUUGUCUGCAUGUAACUCUUCAUUUAACUUGUUUUUUAAAAGAUACUUUUACCAUAUAAAGAAAUCUUGUUUAAAAGUU